GACGAACGCUGGCGGCGUGCUUAACACAUGCGAGUCGAACGGAAAGGCCCUGCUUUUGUGGGGUGCUCGAGUGGCGAACGGGUGAGUAACACGUGAGUAACCUGCCCUUGACUUUGGGAUAACUUCAGGAAACUGGGGCUAAUACCGGAUAGGAGCUCCUGCUGCAUGGUGGGGGUUGGAAAGUUUCGGCGGUUGGGGAUGGACUCGCGGCUUAUCAGCUUGUUGGUGGGGUAGUGGCUUACCAAGGCUUUGACGGGUAGCCGGCCUGAGAGGGUGACCGGCCACAUUGGGACUGAGGUACGGCCCAGACUCCUACGGGAGGCAGCAGGGGGGAAUAUUGCACAGUGGGCGGAAGCCUGAUGCAGCAACGCCGCGUGCGGGAUGACGGCCUGCGGGUUGUAAACCGCUUUCGCCUGUGACGAAGCGUGAGUGACGGUAAUGGGUAAAGAAGCACCGGCUAACUACGUG
rnacentral:rRNA from 1 species